rnacentral:rRNA from 1 species
AUGAACGCUAGCGGCAGGCCUAACACAUGCAAGUCGNGGGGUAGCAGGAUUAAGCUUGCUUAAUUGCUGACGACCGGCGCACGGGUGCGUAACGCGUAUGCAAUCUACCUUUUACAGAGGGAUAGCCCAGAGAAAUUUGGAUUAAUACCUCAUAGUAUUUUCGAAUCGCAUGAUUUGAUUAUUAAAGUUCCAACGGUAAAAGAUGAGUAUGCGUCCCAUUAGCUAGAUGGUAAGGUAACGGCUUACCAUGGCUACGAUGGGUAGGGGUCCUGAGAGGGAGAUCCCCCACACUGGUACUGAGACACGGACCAGACUCCUACGGGAGGCAGCAGUGAGGAAUAUUGGACAAUGGGCGCAAGCCUGAUCCAGCCAUGCCGCGUGCAGGAAGACGGUCCUAUGGAUUGUAAACUGCUUUUAUACAGGAAGAAACACCUCUACGUGUAGAGACUUGACGGUACUGUAUGAAUAAGCAUCGGCUAACUCCGUG